GGGGCUAUAGGUUAAUGGUAAACCCUAAGAUUGUCGAUCUUAAGUUGGGAGUUCGAUCCUCCCUAGCCUCG
rnacentral:tRNA from 2 species